AUUGAACGCUGGCGGCAUGCCUUACACAUGCAAGUCGAACGGUAACGCGGGGCAACCUGGCGACGAGUGGCGAACGGGUGAGUAAUGUAUCGGAGCGUGCCCAGUUGUGGGGGAUAACUGCUCGAAAGAGCAGCUAAUACCGCAUACGACCUGAGGGUGAAAGCGGGGGAUCGCAAGACCUCGCGCAAUUGGAGCGGCCGAUAUCAGAUUAGGUAGUUGGUGGGGUAAAGGCCCACCAAGCCAACGAUCUGUAGCUGGUCUGAGAGGACGACCAGCCACACUGGGACUGAGACACGGCCCAGACUCCUACGGGAGGCAGCAGUGGGGAAUUUUGGACAAUGGACGCAAGUCUGAUCCAGCCAUGCCGCGUGCGGGAAGAAGGCCUUCGGGUUGUAAACCGCUUUUGUCAGGGAAGAAAAGGUUCUCUCUAAUACAGGGGGCUAAUGACGGUACCUGAAGAAUAAGCACCGGCUAACUACGUGCCAGCCGCCGCGGUAACAC
rnacentral:rRNA from 1 species